UACGUAGGAUGCAAGCGUUGUUCGGAAUCACUGGGCGUAAAGCGCACGUAGGCGGCUUCUUAAGUCAGGGGUGAAAUCCUGGAGCUCAACUCCAGAACUGCCUUUGAUACUGAGGAGCUUGAGUCCGGGAGAGGUGAGUGGAACUGCGAGUGUAGAGGUGAAAUUCGUAGAUAUUCGCAAGAACACCAGUGGCGAAGGCGGCUCACUGGCCCGGUACUGACGCUGAGGUGCGAAAGCGUGGGGAGCAAACAGG
rnacentral:rRNA from 1 species